rnacentral:rRNA from 1 species
GGUGAGUAACACGUGGGUAACCUGCCUGUAAGACUGGGAUAACUCCGGGAAACCGGAGCUAAUACCGGAUAGUUCCUUGAACCGCAUGGUUCAAGGAUGAAAGACGGUUUCGGCUGUCACUUACAGAUGGACCCGCGGCGCAUUAGCUAGUUGGUGGGGUAAUGGCUCACCAAGGCGACGAUGCGUAGCCGACCUGAGAGGGUGAUCGGCCACACUGGGACUGAGACACGGCCCCAGACUCAUACGGGAGGCAGCAGUAGGGAAUCUUCCGCAAUGGACGAAAGUCUGACGGAGCAACGCCGCGUGAGUGAUGAAGGUUUUCGGAUCGUAAAGCUCUGUUGUUAGGGAAGAACAAGUGCGAGAGUAACUGCUCGCACCUUGACGGUACCUAACCAGAAAGCCACGGCUAACUACGUGCCAGCAGCCGCGGUAAUACGUAGGUGGCAAGCGUUGUCCGGAAUUAUUGGGCGUAAAGGGCUCGCAGCGGUUUCUUAAGUCUGAUGUGAAAGCCCCCGGCUCAACCGGGGAGGGUCAUUGGAAACUGGGAAACUUGAGUGCAGAAGAGGAGAGUGGAAUUCCACGUGUAGCGGUGAAAUGCGUAGAGAUGUGGAGGAACACCAGUGGCGAAGGCGACUCUCUGGUCUGUAACUGACGCUGAGGAGCGAAAGCGUGGGGAGCGAACAGGAUUAGAUACCCUGGUAGUCCACGCCGUAAACGAUGAGUGCUAAGUGUUAGGGGGUUUCCGCCCCUUAGUGCUGCAGCUAACGCAUUAAGCACUCCGCCUGGGGAGUACGGUCGCAAGACUGAAACUCAAAGGAAUUGAC